rnacentral:lncRNA from 1 species
AGAGAACAAAUCCUAUGGGGAUCCCACUGCUUACCACCCUCCGUUGAGGCUGCUGGCAACACAUUUUGCUUCAUAGAAGACAUGCAAAUUUAUGGGACACAACUUGACAGGAUGAAGGCACUGCGUACAUAGAAGGUGAUACCCUUCAGCAAGAGAAUGACUAGAAUGCCUAGAAGCAAUGACCCUUUACAUUGUCGGCAACACAGCAUUUGUGGUUUGGCUGCUUGGGUCUGGUACUAGCAGGGGAAGGUGAUUGGCUGUCAGGGGAUGCAGUGCACUGUGCGUGGGUCCUGACAGUUGUUCGCAGGCUGAAGACACCCGAGUCCCUCAGCCUUUCCUCAUAUGGUUUGCCUUGCAAGUCUCUGAUCAUACAGGUGGCUCUUCUCUGAACUCUCUCAAGCUUUUCCACAUCCUUGUUGAAGUGUAGUGCCCAGAACUGGAUGCAGUACUCUAGCUGGGGUCUCACCAACGCUGAAUAAAGUGGAAGAAUCACCUGCCUGGUUUUGCUUG